rnacentral:rRNA from 2 species
AGAGUUUGAUCAUGGCUCAGAUUGAACGCUGGCGGCAGGCCUAACACAUGCAAGUCGAGCGGUAGCACAGAGAGCUUGCUCUCGGGUGACGAGCGGCGGACGGGUGAGUAAUGUCUGGGAAACUGCCUGAUGGAGGGGGAUAACUACUGGAAACGGUAGCUAAUACCGCAUAACGUCGCAAGACCAAAGUGGGGGACCUUCGGGCCUCAUGCCAUCAGAUGUGCCCAGAUGGGAUUAGCUAGUAGGUGGGGUAACGGCUCACCUAGGCGACGAUCCCUAGCUGGUCUGAGAGGAUGACCAGCCACACUGGAACUGAGACACGGUCCAGACUCCUACGGGAGGCAGCAGUGGGGAAUAUUGCACAAUGGGCGCAAGCCUGAUGCAGCCAUGCCGCGUGUGUGAAGAAGGCCUUCGGGUUGUAAAGCACUUUCAGCGGGGAGGAAGGCGGUGAGGUUAAUAACCUCACCGAUUGACGUUACCCGCAGAAGAAGCACCGGCUAACUCCGUGCCAGCAGCCGCGGUAAUACGGAGGGUGCAAGCGUUAAUCGGAAUUACUGGGCGUAAAGCGCACGCAGGCGGUCUGUCAAGUCGGAUGUGAAAUCCCCGGGCUCAACCUGGGAACUGCAUUCGAAACUGGCAGGCUAGAGUCUUGUAGAGGGGGGUAGAAUUCCAGGUGUAGCGGUGAAAUGCGUAGAGAUCUGGAGGAAUACCGGUGGCGAAGGCGGCCCCCUGGACAAAGACUGACGCUCAGGUGCGAAAGCGUGGGGAGCAAACAGGAUUAGAUACCCUGGUAGUCCACGCUGUAAACGAUGUCGAUUUGGAGGUUGUGCCCUUGAGGCGUGGCUUCCGGAGCUAACGCGUUAAAUCGACCGCCUGGGGAGUACGGCCGCAAGGUUAAAACUCAAAUGAAUUGACGGGGGCCCGCACAAGCGGUGGAGCAUGUGGUUUAAUUCGAUGCAACGCGAAGAACCUUACCUGGUCUUGACAUCCACAGAACUUUCCAGAGAUGGAUUGGUGCCUUCGGGAACUGUGAGACAGGUGCUGCAUGGCUGUCGUCAGCUCGUGUUGUGAAAUGUUGGGUUAAGUCCGCAACGAGCGCAACCCUUAUCCUUUGUUGCCAGCGGUCCGGCCGGGAACUCAAAGGAGACUGCCAGUGAUAAACUGGAGGAAGGUGGGGAUGACGUCAAGUCAUCAUGGCCCUUACGACCAGGGCUACACACGUGCUACAAUGGCAUAUACAAAGAGAAGCGACCUCGCGAGAGCAAGCGGACCUCAUAAAGUAUGUCGUAGUCCGGAUUGGAGUCUGCAACUCGACUCCAUGAAGUCGGAAUCGCUAGUAAUCGUAGAUCAGAAUGCUACGGUGAUACGUUCCCGGGCCUUGUACACACCGCCCGUCACACCAUGGGAGUGGGUUGCAAAAGAAGUAGGUAGCUUAACCUUCGGGAGGGCGCUUACCACUUUGUGAUUCAUGACUGGGGUGAAGUCGUAACAAGGUAACCGUAGGGGAACCUGCGGUUGGAUCACCU